GACGAACGCUGGCGGCGUGCCUAAUACAUGCAAGUAGAACGCUGAAGGAGGAGCUUGCUUCUCUGGAUGAGUUGCGAACGGGUGAGUAACGCGUAGGUAACCUGCCUGGUAGCGGGGGAUAACUAUUGGAAACGAUAGCUAAUACCGCAUAAUAGUAGAUGUUGCAUGACAUUUGCUUAAAAGGUGCAAUUGCAUCACUACCAGAUGGACCUGCGUUGUAUUAGCUAGUUGGUGAGGUAACGGCUCACCAAGGCGACGAUACAUAGCCGACCUGAGAGGGUGAUCGGCCACACUGGGACUGAGACACGGCCCAGACUCCUACGGGAGGCAGCAGUAGGGAAUCUUCGGCAACGGACGGAAGUCUGACCGAGCAACGCCGCGUGAGUGAAGAAGGUUUUCGGAUCGUAAAGCUCUGUUGUAAGAGAAGAACGAGUGUGAGAGUGGAAAGUUCACACUGUGACGGUAUCUUACCAGAAAGGGACGGCUAACUACGUG
rnacentral:rRNA from 1 species